GAUGAACGCUGGCGGCGUGCCUAAUACAUGCAAGUCGAGCGAACGGACGAUAAGCUUGCUUCUCUGAUGUUAGCGGCGGACGGGUGAGUAACACGUGGAUAACCUACCUAUAAGACUGGGAUAACUUCGGGAAACCGUAUCUAAUACCGGAUCAUAUUUUGAACCGCAUGGUUCAAAAGUGAAAGACGGUCUUGCUGUCACUUAUAGAUGGAUCCGCGCUGCAUUAGCUAGUUGGUAAGGUAACGGCUUACCAAGGCAACGAUGCAUAGCCGACCUGAGAGGGUGAUCGGCCACACUGGAACUGAGACACGGUCCAGACUCCUACGGGAGGCAGCAGUAGGGAAUCUUCCGCAAAGGGCGAAAGCCUGACGGAGCAACGCCGCGUGAGUGAUGAAGGUCUUCGGAUCGUAAAACUCUGUUAUUAGGGAAGAACAUAUGUGUAAGUAACUGUGCACAUCUUGACGGUACCUAAUCAGAAAGCCACGGCUAACUACGUG
rnacentral:rRNA from 1 species